rnacentral:lncRNA from 1 species
GUUCUGAACCUGAUACACCGUUGGUUAGGCUGGGUUGGAAUAAACAGGAUCCUCGCUAUAUGGCUACGAUUAUUAUGGAUACUGCUAAGGUUGUUGUUCUUGAUAUUCGUUUUCCGACCCUACCCGUUGUGGAAUUGCAGAGACAUCAAGCUAGUGUGAAUGCUAUUGCGUGGGCACCACAUAGUUCUUGCCAUAUUUGUACUGCUGGUGAUGAUUCUCAGGCGUUGAUUUGGGAUCUUUCUUCAAUGGGUCAACCUGUUGAAGGUGGGCUUGAUCCUAUUUUGGCUUAUACUGCUGGUGCUGAAAUUGAACAGCUUCAAUGGUCUUCUUCACAGCCUGAUUGGGUUGCUAUUGCUUUCUCCACUAAGCUUCAGAUUCUCAGGGUGUGAAAAAAAAGUGAAAAUUUACUCUGAUGAGUGUUCAAGGGCAAGGUGGGUUUGCUCUUUAUUUAAUUUUAAAAUUGUGUUAGUAUUUUUUUGUUGUUGUUAAAAGGUUAACUUUAUAUUGGGUUUAGAAUUAAGAUAAGAACAACAAGUAUUGGAUUGUUUCUGGUAAGAUAUAGAUACCGAUAUGAAUUGUGACAUUCUUGUUAGCUGGAUAAUCCAUUGAGAUUCUAUGUAAAUGUUAUUAGGCCUUAGUGUCUAUUUUAUUUUGGUUAUGCGAUUGAUACUAACUGUUAAGAGU